CAGGAGUGUGUCUUUAAGGGUUCUGAUUGUGUUGCUCACACUGGGCUCGAUGAUGGGAGGCCAGGUGCCUUCGUAAGGCGGUCGUCCCUAGGUGAGUGUUGGGCUUACCGCGACUUCUGCGUUGACAGCACAGGCUGCAGAUGGCAACAC